rnacentral:lncRNA from 12 species
GUUCUGCAAAAUAAUUCAUCUGGUUCCCUACACCUUAUCAGAUGCUAUUGCUGAAAUAGUCACCUUCACCAGGAGAGCUGAGACUUGGCCCAAGGGAAGGACUCAACACAAAGCUGCCAUAGAGCUGUGGGAAGCUGCAGCAGUAGCUCUCUAUCCAUGCAUUCAUAGUAAGUGAAGCCCAUGGAUUGCACCAGUUAGCAGAGCACUGCCCUGCCACUGACACUAAUUAAAAAAAGAGGCAGGACAAGUAGAAAAAAACCCAGAAGAGUCAGAAGGAAUACAACAAAAGCGAAAGUGGUAAACACUGUAAUAAGUAAAUAAAGAAAUAAACAUCCUUGUCU